AAGAGCUGGAGCAACCACAACGUCGUUCAUGGUUUUACAGUGGAAAUUUGGGUUGUUUUGAGUUGAGUGUUAAGUGUCUAACAGUUGAACUGAGCCCCACCAGUCUCGUCUGAAUUUCCCAGAGGAGGAAAUAACAGAAAUCUUAAUUUUAAAAACGGCUAUUUUUAAACAAGAAUCUUCCUCUCACUCAGUGGGAUGUGUUUUAUUUGGGGGACAGUCCCAGUGAUGAUGUAGCCUUCAGUGUGAGAACUUUAUAAACGCUUCCUCCCUUUAAUUGGAGACAGCAGUGUGAAGGUGCCCCCUUCUGUCUCCUCAGAUUCUGAUCUGCUUAGCAUCGCGGGUCUCAGACGGAAGGAAUGUCUCUCUGUAAAAGCUGUACAGCUGGCGUGGGCCGCCCAUUUCCAUACGCGCUUCCUCCAGACAGGGCAGGAUCGCUCCCAGACACGCCGGAGCUGCUGCCGCGCAGAGGCCACGCCCAUCUGUCUCUAAUGUGCACGGAGACCAAGGCCUUCUGACCGCGCCCUACGGUGAGGCCGAGCCCCUUGCCAAGUACAAAGGCCCCAGCCGGCUACCCUUGCCCGUCAGCGAGGUCACAGUCACAUGUCUCCCAUAUCACCAUGCCAACUGAGCUUCUGUCAGUCAAUGAGAGGAUAAGCAUGACGAUUGAGAGAAGUGCGAGGAUGGCAGCAUAUGGUGGGCGUGACAUAGCACUGAAUGACCUCUGUCCAGUGAAUCCACUACCCUUCUGGAAGGUACAGUGCAAACAGAAUACAGUGAUGAUACUAAAACAAUGAAUGUGGGGCUGCUUGGUGACUUCCAAUUAAGGUACAGUGUAUCAAUGGGUCCCUCGGUCUGGUAUUGAAUCAGGAUCGUUCCAGCGCUCACCAUAGCCAGCAGCCCUGCAGGACGACACGCAGUUGGCUCUAGUGUCACCCACGGAUGGGAUGGUUUCAAUCGGCUGGGAUGACAUUGUCUGAUCACACACCAGCGACCCCUGCUGGUCAGUCGAGUACCUGAAAAUCUGCCUGUUAUGGUGCGCAAGUGUCUUCCUCUGACUCAUGUCUGUGUAAACCUGACUUGUUUGGGCUUUGGGCAUUACACAUUGGGGAGGGAAAUGAGGGAAUAGUGUUUAAAUAAAUCAAUGAGUAUUCCA